GUCAUAAUAAAGAUAAAAAUAAAAAAGUAUGUAAGCCAAACUUCCCUAAGAAGCAAAAAUAACUUAGGUGUGGAAAAUCUGCUUGUUAAGGCGGGUAAAAGAAAACUUCUCUUUUCUUACACUGACUUGGACUACAAUGUCCAGAAUGCAAUGCGGCAGAAACUCCAUUUGUACAUUUAACGUUUUCAAAUCUGAAAAGCUGCAACGACUGAAAGAUUUCUCUUCACUUUUAAUAUCUAAUGGGAAACAUGAAAUAAAAAUCAAUAAAACUAUGAAGUGUGUGGAUGUUGUUCUUUCAAAUAUAAAUCCAAAAUUACAAAUUUUUCCCUCCAUUAGUAACGAAAGAUCAAACACGUUUGGUGUUGAGAAUCUGGUUCAUGCGGAACCUAAAACUUUUUCUGCUUCAUCUUCACUACAAAACAUUUUAAAUUAAAACUUUUUUUCCACAAUAUUACUGCACAUAAAAUCAGCCGAAUCACCAGAAAAUGGACUCAAAUAAAGAAAACCUGCUCAGUUUUCCAUUCUUUUAAAUGUUCUGUCUCUUUAAGAGUCUGAAAAAGUCCGGUGUGCUCCAACAGAUCAGCUGGUAAAGGAAAUCAAUCAGCAGAUGUUACAUACAGUUAGAGUCCAUGCGCGACGGGGCUGAUACAGCAGGGUUCACUGAAGUGAAAGUUAAAGAGAUAACAUCACGUCUACAGUUUGUUUAACUGUAUUUUUUACGUCGAUAAUUAAUCCUCCAAUUAAUUGUUUUAAUUGGAGGAUUUCUGAGCAGUAGUGGCCUGUAAAUCAGAUUUAAGUCAAAACUUUGACUUGACCAGUCGGAGGCGGACUUUCCGGUGUGUUUUGCGACAUAUUGUCCUGAUGCUACCGUUAAAGCAGGAAUAUGUUUUUCUUUAUUUAAAACAGGUUUUUAAAAUCAAAGAAAACAAGUAACCAGUGGGACAUGAGAUGUGAAUACGAAAACAAAAAGGAAGAGGUGAAAACUUAUUUAUGUAACUAUUACUUACAAAUAUAAAUGAUUUUUUUAACAUAUUAGUUGAAACUGUUAGUAUGUGGUGACAGUUUGGCAUGAGACAGAUAAUCUAUGAACAAAUACAGCUCAGUCAGAAACAACCAAUCAGAACCAGGAGGCGGGUCUUAGCGCUGUCAGUCAUCCUCCUCCUUUUUCUCUGCUGAGCUACAGUUCAACGCAAUGCAGGCAGCCAUGAAUGCUAAUGCUAGUUAGCAUGACCACCAAAGACAGCAGAUAAACAUUAAAUAGUUUCACUGCAUGUACAGGAGCUUGAUUGACAGCGCUAAGGCCUUCCUCCUGGCUCUCACUGGUUGAUUUUGACACAGAACGGUGCGUAGCAAUAGGAGGAUGAGGAGGAGCUCGACCUUUUACCUCUCAUCACACUAUCACGAUAUACAGUCGACAGCUCGUGAUCUGGUUCAGACAGAAAUAUGUGCCAAAGUUUAUGACCGGAACGCCGACUUCAGCUGACCCGCGUUGAGUCAACACCACUGGAAAACUGAGGCAAGCUCCAAUGAGGGCAAAGGUCAAAGGAUCAGACCCUGACGAUUCUGUCGGGUUCAUGUCCAGCAGGAGCUACAGAAGGAAGAAAGAAAACCCAGAUCAGUAACCGAGGAUCCCGGUGCGGCUCGGCUCGUUGUUGGUAGAAGGGGCUGUCGAAGCCGCUGUCCUGCUGCCGCUGCCUCAGCUCAGAGAACGGCGGCCUGGAGAAAACGUUGCCGUCUGAGC